UACAGAGGUCCCAAGCGUUGUUCGGAUUCACUGGGCGUAAAGGGCGCGUAGGCGGCCAGCACAAGUCAGUUGUGAAAUCUCCGAGCUUAACUCGGAAAGGUCAACUGAUACUGUGCGGCUAGAGUGCAGAAGGGGCAACUGGAAUUCUUGGUGUAGCGGUGAAAUGCGUAGAUAUCAAGAGGAACACCUGCGGCGAAGGCGGGUUGCUGGGCUGACACUGACGCUGAGGCGCGAAAGCUAGGGGAGCGAACGGG
rnacentral:rRNA from 1 species